rnacentral:rRNA from 1 species
GGGUGAGUAAUGCCUAGGAAUCUGCCUGGUAGUGGGGGAUAACGUUCGGAAACGGACGCUAAUACCGCAUACGUCCUACGGGAGAAAGCAGGGGACCUUCGGGCCUUGCGCUAUCAGAUGAGCCUAGGUCGGAUUAGCUAGUUGGUGAGGUAAUGGCUCACCAAGGCGACGAUCCGUAACUGGUCUGAGAGGAUGAUCAGUCACACUGGAACUGAGACACGGUCCAGACUCCUACGGGAGGCAGCAGUGGGGAAUAUUGGACAAUGGGCGAAAGCCUGAUCCAGCCAUGCCGCGUGUGUGAAGAAGGUCUUCGGAUUGUAAAGCACUUUAAGUUGGGAGGAAGGGCAGUUACCUAAUACGUGAUUGUUUUGACGUUACCGACAGAAUAAGCACCGGCUAACUCUGUGCCAGCAGCCGCGGUAAUACAGAGGGUGCAAGCGUUAAUCGGAAUUACUGGGCGUAAAGCGCGCGUAGGUGGUUAGUUAAGUUGGAUGUGAAAUCCCC